GGAUCAUUGGGUCAGGGGCAGAUCGUCUGUCUAGUAAACAGAAGGUCGCUGGUUCGAUUCCAGCAUGAGGCA
rnacentral:tRNA from 1 species